UGGGUUAGAAAUUAGAAAACCUGGGGUCUCUUUAGAAAAUUUGCAAGGCCGAAGGGGUAUGGGCAUUUCCUGGCCGUUGGAUUCAAGAUCCACGGCCGAGAAGAUGGAAGGGAAGAGAGGGGGCGGGGCUGGCGGCCGAAACAGUAUUGGCUGCGGCGGCGCGCCAUUGUUGGCGGCGCUGAGCUCGCCGGAGUUGGUCGCCUGGCCGCUACAGUGCACCAAAACAAUAUCCGAUUGCUCCGGGAGAGAGAGGAGGGCGAGGGG
rnacentral:lncRNA from 1 species